GCCCACUAGUUAGCUCACCUGGUUAAAGGGUGGUGCUGAUAAUACCAAGGCUGCAGGUUCGAUCCCUGUAUGGGACA